CAUGCCGUAAACGAUGAGUGCUAGGUGUUGGAGGGUUUCCGCCCUUCAGUGCCGCAGCUAACGCAUUAAGCACUCCGCCUGGGGAGUACGACCGCAAGGUUGAAACUCAAAGGAAUUGACGGGGGCCCGCACAAGCGGUGGAGCAUGUGGUUUAAUUCGAAGCUACGCGAAGAACCUUACCAGGUCUUGACAUCUUGCGCUAACCUAAGAGAUUAGGCGUUCCCUUCGGGGACGCAAUGACAGGUGG
rnacentral:rRNA from 1 species